rnacentral:rRNA from 1 species
UCGAACGAUGAAGCCUAGCUUGCUAGGUGGAUUAGUGGCGAACGGGUGAGUAAUACGUGAGUGACCUACCUUUGACUCUGGGAUAAGCCUGGGAAACUGGGUCUAAUACCGGAUACGACCAAUCUCCGCAUGGGGUGUUGGUGGAAAGCGUUAUGGAGUGGUUUUAGAUGGGCUCACGGCCUAUCAGCUUGUUGGUGAGGUAAUGGCUUACCAAGGCGACGACGGGUAGCCGGCCUGAGAGGGUGACCGGCCACACUGGGACUGAGACACGGCCCAGACUCCUACGGGAGGCAGCAGUGGGGAAUAUUGCACAAUGGGCGCAAGCCUGAUGCAGCGACGCCGCGUGAGGGAUGACGGCCUUCGGGUUGUAAACCUCUGUUAGCAUCGAAGAAGCGAAAGUGACGGUAGGUGCAGAGAAAGCGCCGGCUAACUACGUGCCAGCAGCCGCGGUAAUACGUAGGGCGCGAGCGUUGUCCGGAAUUAUUGGGCGUAAAGAGCUUGUAGGCGGUUGGUCGCGUCUGCUGUGAAAGGCUGGGGCUUAACCCUGGUUUUGCAGUGGGUACGGGCUAACUAGAGUGCAGUAGGGGAGACUGGAAUUCCUGGUGUAGCGGUGGAAUGCGCAGAUAUCAGGAGGAACACCGAUGGCGAAGGCAGGUCUCUGGGCUGUAACUGACGCUGAGAAGCGAAAGCAUGGGGAGCGAACAGGAUU